AAUGAACGUUGGCGGCGUGGAUUAGGCAUGCAAGUCGAGCGCUCACCCGCAAGGGUGGGAGCGGCGAAAGGGAGAGUAACGCGUGGGUAUCUGCCCUCGGGACUGGGAUAGCUGCGGGAAACUGCAGGUAAUACCAUAUGACGUCCCCGGACCAAAGGUGUGAUUCCGCCUGAGGAUGAGCCCGCGUCCUAUUAGCUUGUUGGUGGGGUAAUGGCCUACCAAGGCAAUGAUGGGUACUGGGUGUGAGAGCACGACCCAGCUCACUGGGACUGAGACACUGCCCAGACACCUACGGGUGGCUGCAGUCGAGAAUCUUCGGCAAUGGGCGAAAGCCUGACCGAGCGACGCCGCGUGUGGGAUGAAGGCCUUCGGGUUGUAAACCGCUGUCAGAGGGGAGGAAUGGGCGGAGGGUAAUCUCUUCGUUUUGACCUAUCCUCAGAGGAAGUACGGGCUAAGUUCGUGCCAGCCGCCGCAGUAAGAC
rnacentral:rRNA from 1 species